ACUCAUGAGGUCCCAUGUGAAUUAUAGAGACAGGCAGGCUGCAGAAACACCCUCCUUCCCAGGGUGCCUAUCCACGAAAGUGCCGGAAAGAGAUUUCCCUUGCUGCAGAGGGGGGAAUUGCCUUUACUGCUGCAUCAGAGGGCAACGUUUUUCCUCCUUCUUUCUUCCCCUUUCUCUCCCUUCUCCCCCAUCUCCUGUCCCACAUCCGUGCUCACCUUCCCCAAGAAGGCACUCAUUCUAGAACACAGAGGACAUAUUCUCCAGAGAAGAACCGUCUCCGCCCAACCUCCUAAACAAAAGCAUCACUCUCAGAACCACAGCAAUGCAGAGGCUCCCCCCAUUCUUCACAAAGAAGCUAACCAGUCACCAAGAAAAAUUUGCCUUUGUUAUCAGAAAAGCAUAAGAAAGGGCCUUCCCUGAGCCCAUUUAGCCAAGAAGCACCAUCACUACAACCAACCAGUGUUUGCCCUCACCACCACCUUCAGAUCACCAUAGCACCCUUCACCGUUUUCUGCCCAGUCACCCCCACCUUAAGAGUAGCAGCAGCAGCUUACCACAAAGAAAGCAGUCCAUAUCUUCAAGUCUUAGGGCCAGGACUCUGGAAUUCCAAAAGGUGAGAAAACAAAAUAAAACUAGGCAGCAUCGGCAUCCCCAGUUUAUAAGAAGAGUUAUCAAGCUCCAGAUCUGUCUCAGGAUCUCAUGAUCUGCAGCAAUCUCCAUCCCUGAUGUCACCCAGUAACAAAGAAAACACAAGAAGGAAAAGACUGCGGCUACUCAUGUGCAGGUAUUCUAGCCCCUGCAGCCAUUUCUGUUACUGCAAGCACAACAGCACUGGGAACUCCAGGGACUGAACUAGAGCCUAAGGGGAGACUGAAAGUGAAGCCCAGGGUAACAUAGAAAGUGCCCGGAGAUCAAUGGGGUAGGCUGAUGGAUUCCCUACAUUUGGAAAUAUUUGCUAUUCUUACCUGCUUGUUCUAAUGAUGCAAGCUUUCAUGUUGUGAGCUGCCCCAUAAGGAGUCCCAUGUGGUAAGGAACUGAGGAAGACCACAGAUUGACAACCAGCAAGCAAUUUUAAAAGAAUUAUAUGAAGUGAUUAUGCCCCAUUUGUUAUCACCUCUUUAAUAACUCUACACAUAAGUUUGUAGUCACAUAAAAUAAAAUAAAAAUAUAAAAUGCAA